AGGGUCGUUCGAGACCAGGACGUUGAUAGGUCAGGUGUGUAAGCGCAGUAAUGCGUUCAGCUAACUGAUACUAAUUGCCCGUAAGGCUUGAUCCU
rnacentral:rRNA from 2 species